rnacentral:rRNA from 1 species
UACAGAGGGUGCAAGCGUUGUUCGGAAUUAUUGGGCGUAAAGCGCGUGUAGGCGGCUUUGCAAGUCGGGUGUGAAAGCCCUCGGCUCAACCGAGGAAGUGCGCCCGAAACUGCAGAGCUUGAGUGCCGGAGAGGAUGGCGGAAUUCCCCAAGUAGAGGUGAAAUGCGUAGAGAUCGGGAGGAACACCUGUGGCGAAGGCGGCCGACUGGGCCGACCCUGACGCUGAGGCGCGAAGGCGUGGGGAGCGAACGGG